rnacentral:rRNA from 1 species
AGAGCGAACGCUGGCGGCAGGCCUAAUACAUGCAAGUCGAACGGACCCUUCGGGGUUAGUGGCGGACGGGUGAGUAACACGUGGGAACGUGCCCUUUGGUUCGGAACAACUCAGGGAAACUUGAGCUAAUACCGAAUGUGCCCUUCGGGGGAAAGAUUUAUCGCCAUUGGAGCGGCCCGCGUCUGAUUAGCUAGUUGGUGGGGUAAAGGCUCACCAAGGCUACGAUCAGUAGCUGGUCUGAGAGGAUGAUCAGCCACACUGGGACUGAGACACGGCCCAGACUCCUACGGGAGGCAGCAGUAGGGAAUCUUGCGCAAUGGGCGAAAGCCUGACGCAGCCAUGCCGCGUGAAUGAUGAAGGUCUUAGGAUUGUAAAAUUCUUUCAGCGGGGACGAUAAUGACGGUACCCGCAGAAGAGCCCCGGCUAACUUCGUGCCAGCAGCCGC